rnacentral:rRNA from 1 species
AGCGAACGCUGGCGGCAGGCCUAACACAUGCAAGUCGAGCGCCCCGCAAGGGGAGCGGCAGACGGGAGAGUAACACGUGGGAACAUGCCCUUCAGUACGGUACAACCAAGGGAAACUUUGGCUAAUGCCGUAUACGCCCGUAAGGGGAAAGAUUUAUCGCUGAAGGAUUGGCCCGCAUCUGAUUAGCUAGUUGGUGGGGUAAUGGCCCACCAAGGCGACGACCAGUAGCUGGUCUGAGAGGAUGAUCAGCCUCACUGAGACUGAGACACGGCCCAGACUCCUACGGGAGGCAGCAGUGGGGAAUAUUGGACAAUGGGCGCAAGCCUGAUCCAGCCAUGCCGCGUGGAUGAUGAAGGCCUUAGGGUUGUAAAGUCCUUUUAACGGGGAAGAUAAUGACGGUACCCGUAGAAUAAGCCCCGGCUAACUUCGUGCCAGCAGCCGCCGUAACAC